GUUGCUUGGUCCACCUGCUCCUCCAUCUGAAGCCCCUGGAGCAAGCGAGGAAGGUCCUUCGCCCAGUCCUUCACUCGAUGACAAGAGUGGAGCUGAAGCCUUGAGGAGCCUGCAGAAGGUGGUCGGAAGCUUGGCUCUGGGAUUGACCGCCGCCGCCGUCAGCUUCAUGUUCUAGAGAGAGAGAGAGAGAGAGAGAGAGAGAGAGAGAUGUGGUUCGUUCUUGAUUAAUUAUAUUAAUCUCUUUUUUUUUGUUGAAAAUUUCCCCCAUUGUACUUCAUAUCAUAAGGUGCUUUAUUGAUUGAAUUGAUUGAUGAAAUUUGUUUACAAAAUUGAGCACUGGGAUAGGAUUUGGCCGUAUAUGAGAUUUGUAAUUCUUUCUGGAUGAUGACUUUGGGACCGGAUAAAUCUUUUAUUUCAUUUGGAUCCUUGUGUGUU